UAGAAAAUGUACUAUUAUAAAAAAAAACUAAGCAUGUUUUAGGAAGGAUAUAAGGAAACUGUCAUUUUUAUAAUGCAAUUAGUGUGGCUUCCUUACAUGUAUCUACUUGUUCCAGAAAAGGUACAUUUGGUUCUGAAUUUGAAGGUAUUAAUGAAUACUAGGAGGACACAAGUAUUCAGUGGUAAUUGUUCCAAAAUUUGGCAAAUAUUUUUAUUUAAAAUAUUGAUAGGUUUGACUUCUCAAGUCAAAUUGAAUACCUGGUUAGGCUGUGGCUAUUUAUUGAAAUUUUCAUUUUCUCUAGCCUCAUUCAUCAAAAGUAAUUUAAAAUGGUAAAAAUACUUUAAAUUUUGCUCUUUUCAUAUUUAUGAAAGAAUAUUUUAUUGGUAGUAGCUGCUAGAAAUUGAAAUUAUAUUCUAUGCAACCUUUUAUAAACUUUUGUUGAACCUAAAACCACUUAUAUACUGGAAAUACAUAACUAUUUACAGAUUACUUUAUUAAUUUACUUGCCGAGCUAUCUUCCUAAAGUUAGAAUCUGCACACACAUUAGUUGAUUAUUUAGGCUUGUUAUUUUAGAACUUACCAGCCCCAUGUACAUGGUUUAAAAAAAGUCCUUUUCAGACUGGGAUAUUUUAACACUUAAAAUUGCAUUUUAACAUUAACAAUUCUGUCUUAUGCAAAUGUUAGCCAAAGUUACCUUGCAUGAUCCCCUCCUACAUAGACUUUUAUUAAAUAAAUAUGGCAAAUGACUGUUUUAGCUUGUUACACAAAUGUUAUCAUCAAAAGAAGGCUUUUGACAGGUUCUCAGAUUUAAAGAAAGUUGUAGCAUUUGGCUUACCAACCCAAUACUUUUCAUCAGACACCUCUAACUUUUGUGUCGGAUCUUUUCUAUUCCUUAAUUACCUGACUUGUCAUUUUCUCUGUCAGUCAAGUUUUCAUUAUUUCUGCUUUUCACCACUCAUUUUUGUAUUCAUUUCUCUUAUCCACUAGUAAAUUAGUUGGCCUUUCUCCCAACAUUGUUAUUUUCAGUACACUUCAGACCUUCUUUCUCUAGUAACUUCUAAAUCUCAGUUCUUCAGUCAAAAUUGCCUUGGUUUACUUAAUAUUAGCAUUUUCUCCUCAGUACUACUUAAAUUGAUUAUAUUUUAAAAUACCUAACAUUAUGUUUUAUUCAAAUUCAUUACUCCAGUUAAAUAGUUUAAUAGGAUAAAAUUCAAAACCAAGAUGCAUUUAACAAUGCAUCCAAUCAUGAAAUUGUCAGCAAAUCAGCCCUUAAGUUUUCUAUCACCUAAAAGUUUCUAUAAAAUUAAUUUGCAUUUUAUGAUUUUUAUAUCAUCAGUUAAAACUAAAAAAGCCAUGAAUACAGAAUUGUGCAUCAUUUUGCCAUUAAAAAAGUUAAUCUAUAAUGCAGCAAGCUUAGCUUAUGAUUUAACCACACAUUUUUGUACUCUUAUUUAUAUCAAAUAUUUUUAAUGUAUGAUUACAUUUUAACAGCAAACCCAUCAAUAAUCUAUGACCAAUUUUUCAGACCACUUUUGAAAUACAGUAUUGACUCAUGGGCCAGACUGUAGCAAUUUUCAUUUAACUUUUAAGUGAUUCAAGUUGAGUGUUUGUGCAUAUGGAAGAAAAUUUAUGUUUUUAUUUUGUAACUGAUACACUUGAAAGAAAAUACUUCAGAAAAAUUUAUGCUGUAUAUUAAAGUUAUUUCCCAAAUUGGCCAUUGUGAUGUUUGUAGUGUUACUGUUUUAUGUUCUUUAUUUUCUAGUUUAAUUUAAUUUGAAGUCCAGAUUUGUAACUGUACCUGGUUAGGAGAGAAGUACUCAUUAGAAAUAAUUCAUAAUUAGGGAGUUCCAGUUUAUGAUUGAAAUUUUAAGCAAAUUACUAUAUUUUAAACCACAAUUUUUUUUAAUGUUCUGAAAGGUAGCAUAUGAGUUUUCCCAGAGCUUUUUCAUUUAGAUUGCAGAACCAUUUUUAUGUUUUAGACUGAUGCUGCAGACAAUAAAUACUAAAAACUCAGGGCCCCUUUCAUCUUUUUUGCACAUUGAACAUUGAAAAACUUCAAUUGUUAACAGUUACAGUUGAAUAUAUAUGGUGUUUGUAGCACACAGUUCAUUUAAUGUUUCAUCUUAUUAUUUGAUUUCAUUUACAUCAUCAUAUUUCAUUAAUCAUAAAAUCUUGCCGGGUUUUGUAAUUAUUAACUAGAGGGAAAAUGACUCAACUAAUAGGCUACAUGUUGCAGCAUUUUUAGGCCUAAGUGUUAGAAGCAUCACCAUCAAAUCAUUUCUGUUUUUUGAUUAAGUGUGGUUAUUAUACAUGAUGGGACAGAUCAUUUCACUUUGGUUUUUUAGUGGGAGACUUUGGUAAAGUAGUUCCUCUGGGAUAAAAUUUUCUCGAGGUAACAAAACAUUAUAAAACUAUCUUCUAAAAGUAAGCUAAUAAAAGCUUUAGUAAGAGCUUGGAUGUUUCUGAGAAGGUAAACUGUGGUAACUUAUUUAUUGCAUUGUCAGAUCCAAAUGGAAUUUUUCUCUCAAACAGAUAAAUUCAAGCUCCAAAUUGUUAUGCAGUAUACUUCAAAUCCUAACAGAAAAAUUAUUUGUAACUCAUCUCUGUCUCGGGCUCUCUACCUUAUUACCAAUCAAUCCUCUUAAAUAAAAUAGGGAGACAAUUUUUUUUUAAAAAAGCUUAACAGGAAAGAAAACUAAACUGCUAAAAGAUGCAAUUCAAAAAUAGAUUCUGGUUUAAUACUGAAUUGCUUGGCUUCUGUGGCUUUUCUUUUUCUGGUCACUUUUAUUUAUUUAAACAGUUUGUAUAUGUCUUGUUAUGUUUCCAUGGAUAUUAUAUUGUGUGUUUGUAUAAGCUGGAAUCAUUCUUAGUUUUUUUGUUGAUAGUUUCUCAAAUGAAAAUAAGUGGUUAAUUGUAAAAUACACUAACUUGUAGGGUGUUGUAGUAGCUGAAACAUGACAUGUAGCUGCCAUGCUUUUUCUGAAUGGACAAGAGAAAUAAAUGAGCUACAGAGUAUUCUCUGAGGAUGCUUUUCUGGAGUAAGAGAGGCUGAAAAAUAAUGGCAAUCCCCUCAGAACCCUCUUUCUUGUUAACGGGUAUCUUUUGUUGGUGUGUUUUGCUCUUACAUUGCGGAUAGAUAUCAUAUAUGACUUUAUGAAAAUUAUUUUCAGUUAUUUUGCUUUUGUAUAAGCUGUCUGAGACCUUGCUAUGCUGUACAAGUUGUGUUUGAUGGAGUGUGAGUAUGAAAUAAAGCAAAUCACUUUUCUUUUGUAUUAUCUAUGGAUGCCACUAGGAAAGCUGACAUUAAGCCACUAAAGAGUUUUCUAUGAAAUAAUUGUAAGUAAAUGCUUUGAUAUAUAUAAACCUAAAUAAAAAGAUUGUAUUGAUACAGAGACAUUGGAGAAGGAGAUUUUAAGACAGUUCUUUAGGUUUAAAAUGGCUUGCUGUAAAAUGGUGCAUUAUUCCAUUUAUUAAAGAUCAUAUUAAUGACAAAA